CUUCUAUCGACGGUGGAUACUUGAUUGUUCACCUAAAUAAACCCUCUUUCCAAACUCCCUAUCAUUUCCUCCACUUCUCUUCAAAAUCAUUUAUAACAGAUUAACCCUCCAGUCUCCAGAUAUGUUUGUUUGUUAGUUUAAUUUCAUAUGCUGCGGAUUGUGGAUUUUCACCUUCUUCCCUUCAUGGAAUCUCAAUGUUCAAUUUGGUGAUACAUCAGGUCAAUUAGAACUCUUUUUGGAUCUCCUGGAAUAAAAUCUCAUCUUACUAUAAAUCCUAGCUCGUAGAGCUUACAUGGAAAUGCUUCUCCCUGGAUUAAAAUAGAGCAGCCAAUGCUAGCAGGUGGUCAUGGCUAGCAAUGCAGCCAUCACCUUUCUGGUGAGUCAUGUUGCAAUAAUUAAAUGGACUAAUGGACUACUUAGUGGUUAAAUUCUUUUUCUUAAACUAAGCUUGUGCUGUGGAUUAAGUUGCAUACUGGAAAAAAAAAAUUUAGUCAAGGAGAAUGAUAAAGAAGUGGAAUUCCAUUCAUUUGAAGAGUUGUAAUAUACUUACAAAAUUGGAGAAGAAUUAGAGUUGAUUUAAGAUGGAAAGAUGAUAAAGAAAGAAGUAUUAUCUUUCCCUUUCCUUCUCCUCCCAUAUUGGAAAGUGUGAUACUGUCAUACUGAUAGUCUGAUGACAAAAACAGAAGCUUGUGAAAAUGGAGUUUUAAUGGGUUUAAUGCCCUUCAAUUUCUUGUAGAAAACAAUUGUUUAUGAUCUUAGCGCUGACAUUCAGUUUGUUAGCUCUUUGAUGCAAGAAAGGGUCAAAUAACCCUCAUUAAGGUUUUUUUUUUGGGUAGAUCUCUUCGAGUCAAAAAGGGCUAAUUUGAAUAUCGUAAUGACUUGUCUUUCAUUAUAAUAUAUGGGUACGGAUUGUUUGAGAAAA